UUUAUUUUCUGAUUAUCUCUUUGCCGUGUUCUUUGCAAGGGUAAAUGUUUUUGUCUGGCUUACUUCUAACUCUCAUUUUUCUCUUGCCUUGCAGACAAAUGAGGAUAACAUCCAUAUUGUUACUGAGAUAUGAAAGUCAACACAACCUGAUACAAAAUGGUGAUGGUAAUGAAAGACCAGUAUUUCAAAAGUGACUCUCUGUAGGCUCCAGAUAGCAGAAGUCUGAAGAGAAAGCAAUCCCAAUGUCACCCCCACCCUCUCUAAUCUACUUUUAUUACAACUGAAAUAUAAAUCACACAAGUUAAUCUUCCA